ACUUGAAUAGCUUAUUUAGAGCAUGACGCUGAAGAUGUCAAUGAGGUAUUUGUACCUUUAAGUA
rnacentral:tRNA from 1 species